CCUACGGGGGGCAGCAGUGAGGAAUAUUGGUCAAUGGGCGCGAGCCUGAACCAGCCAAGUAGCGUGAAGGAUGACUGCCCUACUGGUUGUAAACUUCUUUUAUAAAGGAAUAAAGUGAGGCACGUGUGCCUUUUUGUAUGUACUUUAUGAAUAAGGAUCGGCUAACUCCGUGCCAGCAGCCGCGGUAAUACGGAGGAUCCGAGCGUUACCCGGAUUUAUUGGGUUUAAAGGGAGCGUAGGUGGGUUGUUAAGUCAGUUGUGAAAGUUUGCGGCUCAACCGUAAAAUUGCAAUUGAUACUGGCAGCCUUGAGUACAGUUGAGGUAGGCGGAAUUCGUGGUGUAGCAGUGAAAUGCUUAGAUAUCACGAAGAACUCCGAUUGCGAAGGCAGCCUACUAAGCUGCCACUGACAUUGAUGCUCGAAAGUGUGGGUAUCAAACAGGAUUAGAUACCCGAGUAGUC
rnacentral:rRNA from 1 species